CCUGGUGGCUCAGAGGUUAAAGGUUCUGCCUGGAAUGCAGGAGACCCAGGUUCGAUCCCUGGGUCAGGA
rnacentral:tRNA from 1 species